ACUACGGGAGGCUGCAGUGAGGAAUAUUGGUCAAUGGCCGGGAGGCUGAACCAGCCAAGUCGCGUGAGGGAAGACGGCCCUACGGGUUGUAAACCUCUUUUGUCAGGGAGCAAGGUGCAGGUCGGGACCUGCUGUGAGAGUACCUGAAGAAAAAGCAUCGGCUAACUCCGUGCCAGCAGCCGCGGUAAUACGGAGGAUGCGAGCGUUAUCCGGAUUUAUUGGGUUUAAAGGGUGCGCAGGCGGGAAUUUAAGUUAGUUGUGAAAUCCCUCGGCUUAACUGAGGAACUGCAACUAAAACUGAAUUUCUUGAGUGCGGGAGAGGAAAGUGGAAUUCCUAGUGUAGCGGUGAAAUGCGUAGAUAUUAGGAGGAACACCAGUGGCGAAGGCGACUUUCUGGACCGUAACUGACGUUGAGGCACGAAAGUGUGGGGAGCAAACAGGAUUAGAUACCCGAGUAGUC
rnacentral:rRNA from 1 species